rnacentral:rRNA from 1 species
AGAGUUUGAUCCUGGCUCAGGACGAACGCUGGCGGCGUGCCUAAUACAUGCAAGUCGAGCGGCAGCGCGGUCUUCGGACUGGCGGCGAGCGGCGGACGGCUGAGUAACACGUAGGAAUGUACCCCAAAGUGAGGGAUAAGCACCAGAAAUGGUGUCUAAUACCGCAUGUGCUCUUCGGAGUAAAGCGCUUGCGCGCUUUGGGAACAGCCUGCGCCCGAUUAGCUAGUUGGUAAGGUAAUGGCUUACCAAGGCGACGAUCGGUAGCUGGUCUGAGAGGAUGAUCAGCCAGACUGGGACUGAGAACGGCCCAGACUCCUACGGGAGGCAGCAGUAGGGAAUUUUCCACAAUGGGCGAAAGCCUGAUGGAGCAACGCCGCGUGCAGGAUGAAGGCCUUCGGGUUGUAAACUGCUUUUGUUAGUGACGAUUAUGACGGUAACUAACGAAUAAGGACCUGCUAACUACGUGCCAGCAGCCGCGGUCAUACGUAGGGUCCAAGCGUUAUCCGGAAUUACUGGGCGUAAAGAGUUGCGUAGGUGGCAUAGAAAGCGGAUAGUGAAAGCGUGUGGCUCAACCAUACAUCCAUUAUCUGAACUACUAAGCUAGAGGACGAGAGAGGUAGAUGGAAUUCCUGAUGUAGGGGUAAUAUCCGUAGAUAUCAGGAGGAACACCGAUGGCGUAAGCAGUCUACUGGCUCGUUCCUGACACUAAGGCACGAAAGCGUGGGGAGCAAACGGGAUUAGAUACCCUAGUAGUCC